rnacentral:rRNA from 1 species
AGCAAUACUUCUGAGAGCGGCGCACGGGUGAGUAACGCGUACACGACCUACCUUUGACUGGGGGAUAGCCCUGGGAAACUGGGAUUAAUACCGCAUAUAAUUCUCGAUAAUAAAGGUUGGGAAUGAAAGUUCAGGCGGUCAGAGAUGGGUGUGCGUCUGAUUAGCUAGUUGGUGAGGUAACGGCUCACCAAGGCGAUGAUCAGUAGGGGGCGUGAGAGCGUGGACCCCCACACGGGUACUGAGACACGGACUCGACUCCUACGGGAGGCAGCAGUAAGGAAUAUUGGACAAUGGCCGCAAGGCUGAUCCAGCCAUCCAGCGUGCAGGAAGAAGGCCCUAUGGGUUGUAAACUGCUUUUAUCAGGGAAUAAACCUGUGGAUUUACUCCGCAGCUGAAGGUACCUGAAGAAUAAGCACCGGCUAACUCCGUGCCAGCAGCCGCG